AUGCAAAUGAGUUAAGAGACACUGUAUAUAAAGCAUUUGUGGCAUGUUAUCUCAUUAUAGUUUCAUUCUCCACCUGUAUGGUACAGCAGCUCUUCUUACGUUCGCACAGCAGCAGGGAGUUUGUUCCAGUUCUAAGAGCGAUGGCAGCAGCAGCCUUUUCCAAUACCAGGGGACCAGCUUUAGCCAACAAAGGCUUAUUACUCAUCUUCUCUCUGCUGUGUCUUGUUUCAGUCGCAAGUUCCCUCUAUACCCAAGACCAGGAACUAUUCCAGGAAACCCUACGCAGUGCUGUAAAACAAGAGGAAACACUGAAGGGAGGAGACGAGUACAAAAUGGCAGCAACAGUAUUGGAUGAAUUGUUUGAGAAAUACAUUCAUCAGUCAGAACUGGAUAUGUUAGCUGAUUAUCCACCAGUGAAGGAAGUAUUUAAGGUUGGUUUGCACUUUAUGAAGAACUUCCGAACUUACAUGGACAAGAAGAUGACUUUGCUACAAGAAUAGAGAACAGAAAAGAAACUGGGUGUGAUGGGGAGCUUCAUAAAACUGUAGAAGAAACAACAAAUUGAACUGCUUACAUUUCUGUCUCUAUGUCUGUUCUAGUUUGCGCAUAUUUAGUUUUUAUGAAACCAUUUUUUGUUGUUUCUAAAUCAUAAAAAAAAAUACAUACAUUUCCUUCAAGUUAUACAUAUGUGACUUCUUUAUAUUAAUUUGGCACAAAGUUGUAGUAAACUGGGGAGUUCUUUUGUUUUACUGAUCUUGACCAGUGAUUCUUUUAUUUAGACAUUAUAGGUUUCUAUGCAUUCUAAAUAAAUGUGUUAUGUAAAGAAUUUUUCUUGUGCU
ensembl:lncRNA